AAUGUGGAAUAUAUGUUUCCCUCUUCCUGUCCCUGCAUUACAUGCAGUCAGUGAGAGAUCAUCUCUUCCAUAAUUUUUGUCUGCCAGAUGCCUUCUGACCAGGCCUUUGAGGUGACAAAAAUUCUCCAUUAAGCAGGUAUUUGUUUCCUGGGGAUAAUUAUCCACAAAUCUGCUAAAGCUGUGGAAAGUGAGAAUGUUCUGAUGCCUAAAGCUUAAAGACAAGAAAGAUAUUAAAGAAGAGCAAUAGAAUAGAACAUUUCAGUUGGAAGGGACCUACAAAGCUCAUCUAAUCCAACUGCCUGACCACUUCAAGACUAACCAAAAAUUAAAGCAUAUCAAGUUCAAGACCUCUUGAACACUGACAGGCAUGGGACACCAAGCACCUCUCUAGGAAGCAUGUUCUAGUGUCUGACCAUCCUCAAGCUUUCCAGUGGCACCAAGGAUAAUCUCCAUAAAUUUUCCAGGUACUGAGGUUAGACUGUCUUCACUGAAAUGAAAAAAGUAUGGUUUCUGCCAGUUCUAUCAGGGAAGAUGUCUGCAUAUGGCCUGCUGAAAAACCUUCUUCAAAUAUUAGAGAACACCUUAACAGAAGAAAGUAAAAGAGAAAUUAUAAGAACAUUUUGAAGGCAAUGUGAAGCAUUGAGUGUUACAGUCAGCUGUCUACUGAGACAUAACUUAAGCAGUAGAAAGAGUAGAUUCAAAAGUGACACGGAUUACUCAUUAUUAAAAAUUAGCAAAUAAGACCUUUGUCAUUCAUUUGUUCUAUAGCGUUCUGGAAAAAAUACUAAUAAUACUAAUAUCUCUUUUAUCUAAUGAGAUUCCUUUUGUGAAGUUGUUUGGCUGCUUUCUCAGAGCUCUUCAAAGGGCAAUGUAAAUUUAGGAAAUCUAUGAACAUUUAUUUCAGACAAAUAUGCUUGAAUUCAUACAUGACAUUCUGAGCUAUAUUAUUACUUGAAAAGCUGCUAGUACUCAGAUAGAUGAUGCCCUUUUCUAUAAUCAUGUACACUAAAAUCUUUCCAAGAUAGAUGGUGUAUGAAAUGGUCACUUUUGUGUAUUGCCCCAAGCCCAGCAUAAUCUGUUAAAUAUUAUUUCAAAAAGGCUGUCCCUGAGUUCAGCAUUGGAGGAAUAAACAAUCCAAAGAAACACUAACCUGUUUCCAGGAAAAGAGGGAACUGCUGUGUUACAUCUAACUUGUUUAAAUAAACAGAACAGCAUUACAAGCAUGGUCAAAGCAAUCAACCAUCAUGACUAUAGCCUCUCAGGGA